CUAACCCCCAUUGCCUUCAUCCUUUGGACAGAACCAGGGGCCAAAACCAGGGCCACCGUUACUUCAUACCCCCUAACAACCUUGUCUUGAUGAUAGCUCAUCCCUUCGACCAACCAUCAACAAUGGUUCUAACCUCUUCUCCACUUCUCUCUAUGCAGCACCGCUCUCACCAUUCUACAGUCAAACAUCGCCGGCCACCGCUCCUAUGGUGACGCCAAACCACUCGGCCAGUACUAGAACGAACGGUGAGCACAACCCAAAGGUUUAAACAACCUAAAUAUGCCUCUAUCCCCUUCAAUUGAGAGCCCAAAACUGACUGAAACCAAUGUGAAUGACCCUCGACCCUUCGUCUACCUCUAUUUCCGGCAAGCUAAGACGACAGGAUUCAUUUCUAAGACAUCGAUCGCUCGACUUACCAACUCCGACGAAGACUACUACCUCCCGACGAUGACAACCCCGGUGAUGGCUUAUCACAAAUAAGAUUUGGUGGCGAGAAUGGCGUGCGGCGCUGGUAGCUUGUUUUAUUAGGUCGGGUCUUGUAAU